CCUACGGGGGGCAGCAGUGAGGAAUAUUGGUCAAUGGACGAGAGUCUGAACCAGCCAAGUAGCGUGAAGGAUGACUGCCCUAUGGGUUGUAAACUUCUUUUAUAAAGGAAUAAAACGAGGCACGUGUGCCUUUUUGCAUGUACUUUAUGAAUAAGGAUCGGCUAACUCCGUGCCAGCAGCCGCGGUAAUACGGAGGAUCCGAGCGUUAUCCGGAUUUAUUGGGUUUAAAGGGAGCGUAGAUGGGUUGUUAAGUCAGUUGUGAAAGUUUGCGGCUCAACCGUAAAAUUGCAAUUGAUACUGGCAGCCAUGAGUACAGUUGAGGUAGGCGGAAUUCGUGGUGUAGCGGUGAAAUGCUUAGAUAUCACGAAGAACUCCGAUUGCGAAGGCAGCUUACUAAACUGCCACUGACAUUGAUGCCCGAAAGUGUGGGUAUCAAACAGGAUUAGAUACCCUUGUAGUC
rnacentral:rRNA from 1 species